GACGAACGCUGGCGGCGUGCUUAACACAUGCAAGUCGAACGGAAAGGCCCUGCUUUUGUGGGGUGCUCGAGUGGCGAACGGGUGAGUAACACGUGAGUAACCUUCCCUUUACUUUGGGAUAACUUCAGGAAACUGGGGCUAAUACCGGAUAGGAGCUCCUGCUGCAUGGUGGGGGUUGGAAAGUUUCGGCGUUUGGGGAUGGACUCGCGGCUUAUCAGCUUGUUGGUGGGGUAGUGGCUUACCAAGGCUUUGACGGGUAGCCGGCCUGAGAGGGUGACCGGCCACAUUGGGACUGAGAUACGGCCCAGACUCCUAUGGGAGGCAGCAGUGGGGAAUAUUGCACAAUGGGCGGAAGCCUGAUGCAGCAACGCCGCGUGCGGGAUGACGGCCUUCGGGUUGUAAACCGCUUUCGCCUGUGACGAAGCGUGAGUGACGGUAAUGGGUAAAGAAGCACCGGCUAACUACGUG
rnacentral:rRNA from 1 species